rnacentral:rRNA from 1 species
GAUGAACGCUGGCGGCGUGCCUAAUACAUGCAAGUCGAGCGAACAGACGAGGAGCUUGCUCCUCUGACGUUAGCGGCGGACGGGUGAGUAACACGUGGAUAACCUACCUAUAAGACUGGGAUAACUUCGGGAAACCGGAGCUAAUACCGGAUAAUAUAUUGAACCGCAUGGUUCGAUAGUGAAAGACGGUUUUGCUGUCACUUAUAGAUGGAUCCGCGCCGCAUUAGCUAGUUGGUAAGGUAACGGCUUACCAAGGCGACGAUGCGUAGCCGACCUGAGAGGGUGAUCGGCCACACUGGAACUGAGACACGGUCCAGACUCCUACGGGAGGCAGCAGUAGGGAAUCUUCCGCAACGGGCGAAAGCCUGACGGAGCAACGCCGCGUGAGUGAUGAAGGUCUUCGGAUCGUAAAACUCUGUUAUUAGGGAAGAACAAAUGUGUAAGUAACUAUGCACGUCUUGACGGUACCUAAUCAGAAAGCCACGGCUAACUACGUG